rnacentral:snoRNA from 1 species
ACCCUCACAGGAUCACACCUGGAGAGUUUUCAGGACUCUACCAGGCUCUGUUAUGGAAGGGAGAGUCAAGCAGAGGCCUACCCAUUCCAUUCCUGGUUUUGGCAGUGGCUAGUGAGUGGAAGGCAAUCUGCUACAAAU